rnacentral:rRNA from 1 species
GACGAACGCUGGCGGCGUGCUUAACACAUGCAAGUCGAACGGAAAGGCCCUGCUUUUGUGGGGUGCUCGAGUGGCGAACGGGUGAGUAACACGUGAGUAACCUGCUCUUGACUUUGGGAUAACUUCAGGAAACUGGGGCUAAUACCGGAUAGGAGCUCCUGCUGCAUGGUGGGGGUGGGAAAGUUUCGGCGGUCGGGGAUGGACUCGCGGCUUAUCAGCUUGUUGGUGGGGUAGUGGCUUACCAAGGCUUUGACGGGUAGCCGGCCUGAGAGGGUGACCGGCCACAUUGGGACUGAGAUACGGCGCAGACUCCUACAGUAGACAGCAGUGGGGAAUAUUGCACAAUGGGCAGAAGCCUGAUGCAGCAACGCCGCGUGCGGGAUGACGGCCUUCGGGUUGUAAACCGCUUUCGCCUGUGACGAAGCGUGAGUGACGGUAAUGGGUAAAGAAGCACCGGCUAACUACGUG